AGACGGGUCGCAACGCCGGCUACGCCGCGGGCAUCAACGCCGCCGUGGCGGCGGCUGCCGAAAAGGCGGGGCCGUUCGACGCGGUGCUCGUCCUC
rnacentral:tRNA from 1 species